UUAGGAUUUCACUAGAAGAAG
ensembl:piRNA 21ur-3158 ncRNA